AUCGGAAUGGGUACAAUUUAAACCCUUUAACGAGGACCUAUGAGAGGGCAAGUCUGGUGCCAGCAGCCGCGGUAAUUCCAGCUCUCAAGGUGUAUAUCGCCAUUGCUGCGGUUAAAAAGCUCGUAGUUGGAUCUGCGCCUUCGGACUCGGUCCGCCCAACGGGUGUGAACUGGGAUCCAAGGCUUAUACUGCUGGUUUUCCCUUGAUGCUCUUUACUGGGUGUCUUGGGUGGCUAGCGAGUUUACUUUGAAAAAAUUAGAGUGCUUAACACAGGCUAACGCCUGAAUACUUGUGCAUGGAAUAAUAGAAUAAGACCACGGUUCUAUUUUAUUGGUUUUCGGAACUGUGAUAAUGGUUAAGAGGGACAGACGGGGGCAUUCGUAUCGCUGCGUGAGAGGUGAAAUUCUUGGACCGCAGCGAGACGCCCUACUGCGAAAGCAUUUGCCAAGAAUGUCUUCGUUAAUCAAGAACGAAAGUCAGAGGUUCGAAGGCGAUCAGAUACCGCCCUAGUUCUGACCGUAAACGAUGCCAACUAGCGAUCCGCCGGUGGUAAUUACGCCCCGGCGGGGAGCUUCCCGGAAACGAAAGUCUUCCGGUUCCGGGGGAAGUAUGGUUGCAAAGCUGAAACUUAAAGGAAUUGACGGAAGGGCACCACCAGGAGUGGAGCCUGCGGCUUAAUUUGACUCAACACGGGAAAACUCACCCGGCCCGGACACCGUAAGGAUUGACAGAUUGAGAGCUCUUUCUUGAUUCGGUGGUUGGUGGUGCAUGGCCGUUCUUAGUUGGUGGAGCGA
rnacentral:rRNA from 1 species